rnacentral:rRNA from 1 species
UUUUACAAUGGAGAGUUUGAUCCUGGCUCAGGAUGAACGCUAGCUACAGGCUUAACACAUGCAAGUCGAGGGGAAACGGCAUUGAGUGCUUGCACCGAUUGGACGUCGACCGGCGCACGGGUGAGUAACGCGUAUCCAACCUACCCAUUACUAAGGGAUAACCUGCCGAAAGGCAGACUAAUACCUUAUGUAAUUCUUAGAUGACAUCAGAUGUGAAGGAAAGAUUUAUCGGUUAUGGAUGGGGAUGCGUCUGAUUAGCUUGUUGGCGGGGUAACGGCCCACCAAGGCGACGAUCAGUAGGGGUUCUGAGAGGA